rnacentral:tRNA from 1 species
AAUGUAGCUCAGUUGGCAGAGCAUAACACUUUUAAUGUUAGGGUCGCAAGUUCGAAUCUUGUCAUU